UCAGUCUAGGAACGGGCAGUUGUUUGA
rnacentral:sRNA from 1 species